rnacentral:sRNA from 1 species
UUCUAUCCCAAAUUGUUUCCUUAUGCCCUAAUAGAAGAGUAACCUAAAAAUGCCCUUGAGAAAAUAUGAAUAUUUAAAUAUCCUUUUUUUAGAUAUCAUAUUUAAACAUUUAGCCAAUAAAAUGUAUUUAAAUGAAUUUGAACAUUAUUUUAAGGAUAUAGCUUUACAUAGUAAUUGUGAUAUUGCUACCAGCCACACUGUUCCAGUGUUGAAUUGUUUACCAGGAAAAUUAUCAUUCACGCUUAACUCUUCAAUGAAAGGAUAUUUUAAAAUAACCUACUAUUAAAUUGAAAUUCUUUAUUUUUGAAUACUACAGAAGAAAAUUCCACAAGACAGAGUGAAGAUUUGGGAAGCCAAUUUACAGAAAUUUUCAUUAAGCAGCAGGAAAAUGUCACUCUUCUGUUAUCUUUAUUGGAGGAGUUUGAUUUCCAUGUCCGCUGGCCUGGUGUGAAGCUUCUUACUUCUCUUUUAAAACAACUAGGGCCUCAGGUGCAACAAAUUAUUUUAGUCAGUCCUAUGGGUGUUUCAAGAUUGAUGGACUUACUAGCGGAUUCCAGGGAAGUUAUACGUAAUGAUG